CAAAGGUGCCAUUGGGAUGCCUGGACGUGUGGGAGGAAAGGGCCAACCAGGCGAGAAGGGGGCCCCAGGAGAUGCCGGGAUGUCCAUCAUCGGUCCCCGUGGCCCCCCUGGUCAGCCGGGCACUCGAGGUUUUCCUGGAUUUCCGG